GACGAACGCUGGCGGCGUGCCUAAUACAUGCAAGUCGAGCGGACGAUUCGAAAGCUUGCUUUUGAAUCGUUAGCGGCGGACGGGUGAGUAACACGUGGGCAACCUGCCCUGUAGACGGGGAUAACACCGAGAAAUCGGUGCUAAUACCGGAUAACACGAAACGUCGCAUGACGUUUCGUUGAAAGGCGGCGCAAGCUGCCGCUACAGGAUGGGCCCGCGGCGCAUUAGCUAGUUGGUGAGGUAACGGCUCACCAAGGCGACGAUGCGUAGCCGACCUGAGAGGGUGAUAGGCCACACUGGGACUGAGACACGGCCCAGACUCCUACGGGAGGCAGCAGUAGGGAAUCUUCCGCAAUGGACGAAAGUCUGACGGAGCGACGCCGCGUGAGCGAAGAAGGCCUUCGGGUCGUAAAGCUCUGUUGUUAGGGAAGAACAAGUAACGUAGUAACUGACGUUACUAUGACGGUACCUAACGAGAAAGCCACGGCUAACUACGUG
rnacentral:rRNA from 1 species